UGAUGGAUCUUAAUAUGGAUUAGUAUACCAGUCCUUUUUAUUACUUUUCAUCUUCAUUAUUAGUACUCUGUAUUUGUAAAGUUGAGAGGUUAGUGUAAAUUCUGAGAUUUUGACAUAUUGGCAGGGUGUUGUGAGUAAAUGCUUAAAUAUGAUUGGCUGUUGUGAAUAAAGUGAGUGAAAAUAUUUGAGACCUGGAAAUAGUCUUGAGAGUUAAAACAUUAAUCUCUCUUGUUAAGGAGCUUUAGUGUGUAAGGCAGCAGAUCAGAGCAGGAAGGUGCUAUGUCACAUCAAAUUCAAGGAUUUUUCUCCUUAACCUUUGAAACCCAUCAAAACAAAGUCCCAAAUUCAACAGUGUAGGAAGGGUGGGGGAUCCCACAACUCCCCCUGGAGAUGGCAGCAAACUGCAUUAUGUUAGGUUGUUUGGAAGUGUAAUUUGAUACUAUUGGGAGGUCAUCUCCAGUAGAGACUGGACUGGGAAGCUUGGUUCUACAAACGGGAACCUCUAUUGCCUGUUGGUUCAAAGCCAGCAGCAGACUCAUAAACCUCUUUGGGAAUGUCUGCAUUGCAUCUGGAAGUGAACCUCCCAGCCCAGGAAGACAGACCCAUGCUCUUGGAGCUGGAGGUAGCAUGCUAAAAGUAGCUGUUUGGCCACUGCAGCUUGGGCUGAAACCAAAGGGUUGAAUGGGCUUGAGAGCUGCAUCAUCCACACUGCUAUUUUUUUAGUGCGCUAGCUCCAGCCCUGUUAGCAUGGGUCUGUCUAUCUGGGCUGAGAGGCUCGUUCCCAGCUGUAGUGUAGACAUACACUGUGUGAUCCUGUCACUAGUGGUGGACAGAGCACCACUUUGUGUAAGCAAAGCUUGCAGAGGCACUGUUGAAGUACACAGGAAAAAGACUUGAGACAGAAGAUUUGUACAGGUGAUACUAAUCUUCUCUUUAACUGAGUUAGUUGCCCUCUGCUCAACACUUAGGUGGUAAUACAUUUUGAAUAACCAAUAUGUUGAACUGUGAUUUUUGUAUAUUUUUGUGAGAAUAAUAUGGAUGAAGGACUGUAAGGUGUGAGGGGGAAGUUCAAAAUUUGACUCGCCAGAAAAAAAGAAUUGAGAGUUCAGUUUUUUAAUUCAACAAAAUUAUCUUAUUGCAAAAUAAGAUUUGCUCCUUAAAGUAUUCAUGGGACUGAUGGAUGAUGCCUUCAGGAAAAUAUCAGGUGUGUAUAUCCAAGUCACUUGAUUUGUAUAUAAAUCCUGAAUGGCAUGAUCUUCAGAUGAAUUUUAACAUGUUCAAACAACGAUUUCCAUUAUUUAUAUUUACUCAUAAGUUUCAGGCCUACAGUUAAAGAUGUAAUUUACACCUUGACUUGGUUGCAGUCAGCAUGUAGAGAUCUGAUUCACCAUUAGAAAUAUUUAUGACCUGAAAAUCUUUCUGGCAAAUGGGAUCCAACAUGAUGCAUUUUUGUGAAAUGUUCUGAUGUCAUUGACGAUGACAGGAGAGGAAAUGGAAUGAGCUCUCAUUAGACAGGAAUGGACUGAAGUUUAUACUGCAGCUUUACCUUGAGGGGAUGAAGCAUUGAACUUAACACCUGGCAUGAUGCCAUGGUGUGGGUGGGGAGAGCAUUUGGAGCUGCUAGCAAGGACUCCAGAGGGGCUGGAGAGGCCAAGCUACCUCCUUACACUUGAACAUAUUACUGCCUUUUCUCCCUGAGCCUGAAUCUUUUUCUGAACAGGAGAGCACACUGGGUAAACAGUGGUGCAGACUAGCUGGGGCCUACUCAGUGGGAAAGGUGGAGCGAGGAAAGUGGGUUUUGUUUUGUUUUGUUUUGUGUGGGAGGAAAUUAUAUUUUUUUUAAAAUAUCUCAUCUUGUCUGUAUAUUACUCUUUUUCUCUUUUAUCUGUUUAGAUUUUAAGUUCUUUUGGGUACAGACCAUGUCUUACUGUGUGUGUGCAGUGCCUAGUCCAAUGGAGCCUUGACCAUGAUUGGGGCCCCUGGAUGUUACAGAAAUACAGAUAAUAAUGAUGAUAUCUUUGUUUUAGGCAGUUUAUUUUUUCACACAUUAUUAAACUGACAUUCCUAAUUCUGUUGUCAACAGUGAAAAAGCCAUCCUCAACCUGACAUUUUCAAGUCUGGCUUUUGUGCUGUUAUGAGUAAAUUCAGUAUAGUUACACUGGCUCUUAUGGAGUGAAUUGGCCUCUAAAUGCAGCUUCCUGUCCUGCCUUCACAUUUUGAAUGGCAAAUAUAUUCAUCUGUUUUGAAUAAGAACUGAAGAUGAUGAUGCUACUCUGGCCCAAUGUAGAAUCCAGAAUGCAAACACUAGCAAGAUGACAAGCCAUGUAGAAAUCUUUAAAACAAAAUCAAUAUAUGUGUUUCAUCCCUUUGGAUUAUCUCUGUCACAGAAAAAAGAGAUUCCAUUCUGUUUUCAGAGUAACAUAUGAGACCGAGGAAGUCUAGCACUGUUCAUUUCAGAUUUUAUAUUUCCUGAUGACUGAACCACCUCUCUAUGCAAUAGUUCUUAUAUUAGGUGAAACUAAUAUCAAUAAGAUGUUCAUAAUUUAUUAUGAUCAGAGACCCUGAUGUCAGGGUUCCCCUGCAUGCACUUACCAGAUGUCAGAUUUCAUAACUAUAAUGCUCAUGUUGACCCACUUUUCACACUAUGACCUCUUCCUCAUCACAUCUAGCUUGUCAUCACAAAAUCUUCACAUACAGGCACAUAAUACAUAAUUGAAUAGGCCCAGUGGCCUGUAUGCUGUGAAUGUUUUUAUUCUUUCAUUCCCUGUACCCUCUGCCCCAGAUCUGCCAACUGACUGAUAUUUAGGGUACAGAUGACUGACCCAGAAGAAGAUUCUCUGAUAUUAACAUCAUUUAUUGCUUUUAACACACACUCCACCCACAAAAGGGGAAGGGAGAGUUACUUUCAAUAUGAUGGUGGAAUUUAAAUAAAAAUAAAAUGGUUUAUGACAAUAAAUAAAUUUUAGCAAAGAAUCCAGAAGUAAUGCAUCUUUUCAAGCAUGUAAAAUGCCUUUUUCAAAGACCUUUUCAUAACACCACAUUUGUAAGCACCAAAUAAUCCGCUAAAUCAACAUGAGUUUAAAAAAAUAAAAUAAAAUCCAGUGUAGUUGCGUGACCGGGGGAAGAAAGUAAGAGUCCUUGGGGCCUGUAACAUAAUCUCAGCCAAAAUGUUUAAUAGUGUGCUGUAUUGCCCACGCACCCUUCAUGACAUGCUUUUUCAGAGGCUCCUGGGCAUUGGAACAGCAUGCAG